rnacentral:rRNA from 1 species
AGUGAACGCUGGCGGUAGGCCUAACACAUGCAAGUCGAACGGCAGCACAGUAAGAGCUUGCUCUUACGGGUGGCGAGUGGCGGACGGGUGAGGCAUACAUCGGAAUCUACUUUUUCGUGGGGGAUAACGUAGGGAAACUUACGCUAAUACCGCAUACGACCUACGGGUGAAAGCAGUGGAUCUUCGCACCUUGCGCGAUUGAAUGAGCCGAUGUCGGAUUAGCUAGUUGGCGGGGUAAAGGCCCACCAAGGCGACGAUCCGUAGCUGGUCUGAGAGGAUGAUCAGCCACACUGGAACUGAGACACGGUCCAGACUCCUACGGGAGGCAGCAGUGGGGAAUAUUGGACAAUGGGCGCAAGCCUGAUCCAGCCAUACCGCGUGGGUGAAGAAGGCCUUCGGGUUGUAAAGCCCUUUUGUUGGGAAAGAAAAGCAGCAGGUUAAUACCCGGCUGUUCUGACGGUACCCAAAGAAAAAGCACCGGCUAACUUCGUG